ensembl:processed_transcript Gm20405 predicted gene 20405
UAAAAGAUUAAAUACUUUUACUUUGGAUUUAGCUGUCUUUUCUUCAGGCCCAAAGCCUCAUAAACCCAAGCAGAAGUACAAAGAACAAGCUGCAUACUCUUUCACAGUGCCUCCUUAUCAGGGUAUAAUUAGUUACAUGGCUGGGUAGAAAUCCCAAAGUAUAAAUAGACGUUUUCCAUUUAUAAAGUUGAUGUUUAAAGUU